rnacentral:rRNA from 1 species
CGAACACUGGCGGCGUGCCUAAUACAUGCAAGUCGAACGAAGCUUUCUUUCACCGAAUGCUUGCAUUCACCGAAAGAAGCUUAGUGGCGAACGGGUGAGUAACACGUAGGCAACCUGCCCAAAAGAGGGGGAUAACACUUGGAAACAGGUGCUAAUACCGCAUAACCAUGAACACCGCAUGAUGUUCAUGUAAAAGACGGCUUUUGCUGUCACUUUUGGAUGGGCCUGCGGCGUAUUAACUUGUUGGUGGGGUAACGGCCUACCAAGGUGAUGAUACGUAGCCGAACUGAGAGGUUGAUCGGCCACAUUGGGACUGAGACACGGCCCAAACUCCUACGGGAGGCAGCAGUAGGGAAUCUUCCACAAUGGACGAAAGUCUGAUGGAGCAACGCCGCGUGAAUGAAGAAGGCCUUCGGGUCGUAAAAUUCUGUUGUCAGAGAAGAACGUGCGUGAGAGUAACUGUUCACGUAUUGACGGUAUCUGACCAGAAAGCCACGGCUAACUACGUGCCAGCAGCCGCGGUAAUACGUAGGUGGCAAGCGUUGUCCGGAUUUAUUGGGCGUAAAGGGAACGCAGGCGGUCUUUUAAGUCUGAUGUGAAAGCCUUCGGCUUAACCGAAGUAGUGCAUUGGAAACUGGAAGACUUGAGUGCAGAAGAGGAGAGUGGAACUCCAUGUGUAGCGGUGAAAUGCGUAGAUAUAUGGAAGAACACCAGUGGCGAAAGCGGCUCUCUGGUCUGUAACUGACGCUGAGGUUCGAAAGCGUGGGUAGCAAACAGGAUUAGAUACCCUGGUAGUCCACGCCGUAAACGAUGAGUGCUAAGUGUUGGAGGGUUUCCGCCCUUCAGUGCUGCAGCUAACGCAUUAAGCACUCCGCCUGGGGAGUACGGUCGCA